rnacentral:lncRNA from 1 species
CAGAAUGCAUUUGCAGUAUCCACAGAACAGAUGGACUGUCUCUGAAUCAACUUGGAUUAGUUAAGUAUUAGCUUCCAGGAAAUUUCAGGUGGCCCCAUAUUUAUAUUUGUCUAAUUUUGUCUUUGUGUGGCUCUUUCUGACCUGUUUUUGUUGGCAGUGGUUGGGCUUUUUUUUAUUAUUAUUAUUUUUUAUUUUUUUAAUUUUUUGGUUUGCAGAAGAAAUAAUCAGCGUUCUUUCUACAAAUGCUUCCCUUGUAAUAUACAUUUUGAAAUGCAGUGCCUUUCUCUAAUUCUACCUGUAUGAUUCCAAUGAAAAUGUUUUCUUUUAUUUUCUGAAAGUAAAAAAUGUAACUGUAUGUGAUAGGGUAAAUAGAGGACUAUCUCAUAAAAUUCAUUAACAUUUCUUUUAUGUGCAUGGAUGAAAUUCUGAGAUUGUCAUAUGGUGAGACAAAUACUGAGAGUAAGAUUUUGAUAAUAACUUUUUCCAAGUUCUUCCUUCUUUAUUAUCUUUUCAGGUUUUCUGCUAGAUACACUUAGGAAGCCUGUAGUAACACAAAUUUAGAGCUUAAUAAUACCAACUCUGUCUUUGAUGCAGAUCUUUAGUAGAAAUAGCCUCCAAACUGCAGAAUAACUAUUGAGAAGAAUCAAGGAAUUUUCCACAGAAUGGCCAGAUAGCUACAGUCUAUUUUGUUAGUGUGCCUUCAUAUUAUUUUAGUACUCUGCAUGCCUUCUCAAUAGCAGCUGUGCAUUCACAUGCAUAGAAAUACCUACCAGGCUCAAAUAAAGGAAAAUAAAAAUCAGAACUGAAAAAAUACUAGAUUUCUGUUUUUCAGUGCAAACAUCCAUUAGCCCAUUUAUGUGAACUUUAGAAAGUAGUUCUUUAUUAGAUGACUACCUUGUAGUUUUUUUCCGAAGGUUCCCAAGCUCUGCAAACAUGAUGACCAUGUGCUGAUGAUUAGGGAGGGUGUGUACUGUGAAGCAGUGGUCUGGCUCCUUGCUGACAGGAGAGAAAUACAUUUUUGAGUCUAGAUUGCCAUUUCCAGUGCUGGAGAAAAGUGUCCUACAGUGCAUGCAUAUUCAUCUGCUUAUACAGACUUAGAUCUCUCCCCCUUCAUUUUAAGCCCUAUUUUUAUUCAUCUAGUAUCACUCUUCAGUCCCUACUUUUCUCACAUAUUUCUAAUGUUCAUAUUCAAUUACCAGGCUGUAGUCUCUUAAAGUCUCAGAUAUCUACAUCAAGGAGUUUCUCUCAAACUUGCAGCCAGGGUGUCUCACUUUCACCUGUCUCUACAAUUUCUUAUCUCCUCUGCUUCUAUUUCCAUGCCAUAUCCUUGUUCCCUGCCAGGUCUGCCUGCCCUUCUACUUCUUAUUCCUCCAUUCAGUUCUUUCCCUGCUGGAGGGGCUGCACCAUCAGAACUGAUAUGUCUCCAGUAGAUGUUUUCAAUGCCUCACCCAAUAAAUGCCAGCUGAUCCCUGUUCCAGUCGCCCUUUAUUAUCCUGUAGUUUCCUUAUACAAACCCUACAGCGUUUUCUGUUCUUCCUUACAGUGACCACUAUUUUCUUCUUUUCCAUGGACUGUCUACUUCUCUCUUUUUUUAAUAAUUGAUCUUCAUCAACCUUCAGUCAUCGUCUCAGAGGACAAAACAUACAAGUGAGAAUUUAAAGUUAGUCCUACAACUCAUGACACACUUAUCUAUCCCAGAAAAUGACAAAUGAGAUACUGAAACACUUUAUGAAACAAUAGAAAACCUUUGCUCUUCUGAAUUAACAUUGAGCACUUAUUGUACUGAUAAGAUGUAACGGAAAAAUUGUGUGUUUUUUUCUUACAGAGAAAGUGGAAUAUGCGUGCUGAAAACCUGCUACACUACACCAGCUGCUUCAUCCUGAAUACUUAAGUUGACAGGAAAGUCAUCUGAUCCUCAAGCAGGGCCAUCUAGAACAGUUCACCCAGAACCACACAUGGACAGCUUUUGAAGAUCUCCAGAGAGGAAGAACCCAUAAUCUCUCUGAGCACCCCACGCCAGUGUUCUGUCACCCACACAAUAAAGAAGUUUUUCUGAUACUCUAGAAUUUCUGAUGCUAUAGUAUGCAUUUGUCACAUUACUUGCUUGUUCAAACAGAACUUUUUUUCUACUACUAUGCCUCCGUAUCUUUUAUAUAGUCUAUACAGUUUGUACAUCAUGGCAGAUUGUAUCUUAGCGUGUUACUUCCAUUGAUUAGUUUCCAUGGUUGCAAGCAUUAUACAUGGUAGAGCUCAGUAAAUGCAAACCCUUGAAUAGUUCCUUUAAGCUAUAUAUUGCGAGGGGAAGGAGAAGGAAUAAAUCAGUUAGGAUAUCUUCUGUGCCAUCUAUUGUGAUUAAAGUCUUGUUUGCACAAAGUGGUUCAUUAUUUCUUCUGUGAGCCAUGGUUUAGACUUUCUUGUAGAAGGGAGUAUCCAUAAAGAUGGAUCUCCCUCAAAUCUCAGCCAGAACAGGAUCAGUUCAAAUGAUGAAAGCAAGAAUAGUUGUAACACAUGGAAAAACAUCAAAACUCAAAACCAAAAAGUAAUUGAUCCAAAACACCAAGAAUAAUGAUGUUUUCAUUAAAAUGAAAGUAGAACACACAGGUAAAUCCACAGAAUAUAGGAAUAUCUAAUACCAAACAUGCUUGACAUGCUCAACAAGAGACUGCUUUAUUCUUUGAUGGAAAGCUGGGACUGAAUCUGAUAUGUGCAGAAUAAUAGUGGUGGUGAUAAAUGGUUCAAAAGACAUGGAAACCAAAUAUCCUAUAAAUUAAUAUAUAAUUCAAGAAACGAUAUUCACUGAUCAAUUAAAGAGGCUGAUUGCAAAGCGUCUAUAGCAUAUGUGAAAAUGUUUUGAUAAAUACUAUGUACCUCUUUUCAGUUCAUUUGGGCUAGAAGAUUCUCAAAUGGCUUACAACUGAAUAAAGAUGGCAUUAAAAAAG